CUCCCAAACCCAAUGUGAACGUUACCAAACUGUUGCCUCGGCGGGAUCUCUGCCCCGGGUGCGUCGCAGCCCCGGACCAAGGCGCCCGCCGGAGGACCAACCAAAACUCUUAUUGUAUACCCCCUCGCGGGUUUUUUUUUAUAAUCUGAGCCUUCUCGGCGCCUCUCGUAGGCGUUUCGAAAAUGAAUCAAAACUUUCAACAACGGAUCUCUUGGUUCUGGCAUCGAUGAAGAACGCAGCGAAAUGCGAUAAGUAAUGUGAAUUGCAGAAUUCAGUGAAUCAUCGAAUCUUUGAACGCACAUUGCGCCCGCCAGUAUUCUGGCGGGCAUGCCUGUCCGAGCGUCAUUUCAACCCUCGAACCCCUCCGGGGGGUCGGCGUUGGGGAUCGGCCCUGCCUUGGCGGUGGCCGUCUCCGAAAUACAGUGGCGGUCUCGCCGCAGCCUCUCCUGCGCAGUAGUUUGCACACUCGCAUCGGGAGCGCGGCGCGUCCACAGCCGUUAAACACCCAACUUCUGAAAUGUUGACCUCGGAUCAGGUAGGAAUACCCGCUGAACUUAAGCAU
rnacentral:rRNA from 1 species